rfam:Ovis aries breed Texel chromosome 9, whole genome shotgun sequence.
UCCCUGGUGGCUCAGAUGGUAAAGCGUCUGUCUUCAGUGCAGGAGACCCAGGUUCAAUCCCUGGCUUGGGAA